UACGUAGGGUGCGAGCGUUAAUCGGAAUUACUGGGCGUAAAGGGUGCGCAGGCGGUUCUGCAAGUCAGGCGUGAAAGCCCCGGGCUUAACCUGGGAAUGGCGCUUGAAACUACAGGACUGGAGUAUGGCAGAGGGAGGUGGAAUUCCAGGUGUAGCAGUGAAAUGCGUAGAUAUCAGGAGGAAUACCGAUGGCGAAGGCAGGUCUCUGGGCUAUAACUGACGCUCAUGCACGAAAGCGUGGGGAGCAAACAGG
rnacentral:rRNA from 1 species